GCCUGGUUUGCUCAGUCAGUAGAACAUGAGACUCUUGAUCUCAGUGUUGUGAGUUCAAGCCCCAUAUUGGGUG
rnacentral:tRNA from 1 species